GCCCAGAAGGCUCUUUCUAUGCCCAUCUUAGCGGGGGUGAGGCCCCACCUCUCUUCCACUGUCACUCCCAGAAAGUCCCCAAUUUCCCCACCUUCUGUCUGUUCUAGGGGCUUAACAAGUAUCUGGGACUCCCACAUGGAAGGGCCGAUGGGAGUAGUUCAGAAGAGACUCCAGCAUAGGGGAGCAUUGACGAUGCCCCAUCCCUUCCUCUCCACCUCCCCCUCCCCAUCAUGGUUCUGAGCCUAAGGAACAGGAGGGAGUGGAUGCUGGAAGGCAACCUCUGCCAUAACCAGCUUAUAGCAAUGAGAGCCAAAGAACUCCAAGACGAAAGUAAGUGGGGGCAUUGGCACCUAUUUUUCAUUUAAAAAAUCCUAACUAAAGGACAGAACAAUUAUCAUAUUUGCCAAUGAAGCUCUUUGCGUCUUCCUUGGGUCCUAAAGUGACCUACUUCCAUCGUGUGUACAUUCCACCAGCACCUGAAACUCACCUCAGCACCUACGAUAUAUUCGGACCCAGUUUACCUGGAGCUGACUGAAGGGAGGCACAGAGCAGGAAAAUCCGGCAUUUGAAAGGGAAAUGCACGCUUCCUAGUUUAGAUCUGCAGCAACUCCUUUGCCCACCACAGGAAAUUAUUUGGUUACUCAAACCGGGCAACCCAUCUCUUUGUUUGGGAACAUGGUGAUUAUUCUCAGGAGAGAGAGUAAAUAAGAUAAAGGACAUAACACACGCUGGAUUUUUCAUUUGGUGAGCAGAAUGAAAAUCAUCUGAACACAUCCCUGUGGAAAAAAUAAUCAAUUUUUCAUAGACUUGUUCUAGGUUUCAUAAAAUAUAUUGCACACAUAUUUUUUAAAGAAAAUGGCUUUUUAAUGAUACUUAAAAUAUAUGGCAUGGCAAGAAUUAUUUAAAAUGUGUUUCUGAGGCCUGAAGUUUGGUACUGCCUGCUAAAAUAUAGAUGAUUUGGAUAAGUCCUGUCUUCUUGGGAUAAAUGUGAGACCUGGCUCAUCUUAUUAUAAAGCUCACAUGCAGGAACUUGGUAUUCGGGCAGUUAAGUAAUUGGUACAAAUCCCCCCAAGGUAUUAGAUCUCCUGAACUUCUACCACUUAACAGUUGCCCACUGGCCUGUGAGCAAUAACUACUCUUAACCCACAGGCCAGCAAAACAUAGGUCACAUAGAAAAAGUCAACACAGCGCAGAAUGAGAGGAAGCAGAGCUGAAUCCAAUAGAAUAUGACCAUCGCUCACUCAACAUGUUUCCUGAGCAGUGCACCAGGCCCAGGAGCAUAGGGACACGUGAUCCAGGUGGUCUGGCUUCUCAAUCCUUGAUCCAGGAAGAGCAGCUCCAUUUUUAUGAGCAACCGGCUUGAUUUUCCGCAUAGGAGACCAUGCUUUUCCCAGGAACAACUCCAUUCUAAGUGGAAGACUAUGCUCCUAGACCCAAGACCCACAUCCAGCCUCAUGUGAGCAUUCAGCGCAGGUCUAUAGGGUGCAGGUGAGAACAUAGAGGAUAAGCUGGUCACCACCACAACGGGGGAAACAGGCAUCUUCAGAGCCAAGGUGGCAAGUCGCGAGGGUCCAUCCAUAGAGCAUGGGCUGCCCAUUUGUCACAGUUCCGGAAAACCAAGGUGUUUUCUCCACUCUCUGCUGAAUAAGGACGUGCCUGACAUCUGACACGUAUUCGGCACUUCGUAUAUUAUAUGUACAAAUAACUAGAUGAAUGGAUAAGUGAAUGAAAGUUUUUAAGUCGACUUAAAGCAGAUCCAACAUACGAAGAUCUAGGUUUCCGAAAAAAAACCAUUUGGCUCUAAUUUUUUUCAUCAUGCAGGGAGUUACAUAAAUAUGCUAUUUUGUGUCUAACAUCUUCCUUCAAGGAGGUAUGAAGACAUUAAGCCUCACUGAUGUCAGAAUUCCGUCUAGCUGAGAAGACAAGUGACAUGCCCAAAACGGAGACCACAUCAAAUUUACAACACCAAGAACACAAGCUUCAGUAGCUUACAAAAGGAAGAGUCCCUUCAGAGAGAUGGGAAAACAGAGGCAAAGAUUUAGAAGUAGAAAUAAACAUCUGCUUGCUAAUGGCCAUGAGAGCACCUGCCUGCUCAGAGCUUGGGAAACAGGGCGCAUCCCAGGGCAGGGACUUGUAACGGAGGGAGGGGUAACAACUGCAGGUAAGUUGAUUUGUUACAUCAGGGAGUCAUUUUAGGACCUUGAGAAGGAGUAACAGAGUGUUCCUUUGGUGAGAAUCCACCCCGGGAUUCCUUGAAAGAGCAUGCUCCCCUUGACAUUGAGUUAAUGAUUUCAUUUGCACUCGGCUUUUCAAUAUCCCAUCUCAGUGGUUCCCAACUUAUGGACCACAGAGCUACGGCAGAGGUCCCUGAAGUCAGAUAAGCACUGCCCAGAGAUUGACUUGCUCCCUGUAUAUUGCCGCUAUCUUGUUCUAAUAUAUGCAGACACAGUAUGAGACAUAAAAUGCAAAUUCACUCAAAAGCAACAGUAACCUGAGUUGCCCCAGGCACCAGCCUAUGGCUACACAUGGAGUCACCUUAACAAUAACCCAAAUGUCACUUGCUCUAAUCUCCCUGCUGUUCAUGCAGGACUUCAGCCUCCAGUAAAAUGUCCCUCACCCGUUUCCAGGAGUUCCCAGGGAUUUUGCACCAGUGCCUGCAAACAAAUCCAUCCUCUCCAGACAGCCACUGGGUGGCGCUGUGUCUGCACAGCUCCCUCAGUACCACCAGGCCUCGGACCCCCAGUGGACCAAAGCUGCCAAUGGUUUAUAUAGAACAGUACAGGGAAAUACCUCAUUCCUCUCUUGAGCUGUCAUUCCCAAGGCAGUCAUAUUUGUGCCGCACACAAUAUUUUACCAAGUUUUUUUUUUUUUUUUUUUAGAGAAAUAGCUCUUCCAGUUUUUACUUACUGCCCCUAAGCUAUAAAUGAAAGCUGUAUUCAAUGUGAAUCCAGUGGGGAGGUUGGUCAGGAAGAAAAAUAUUCAGGACAGAUCCCAUGCUAUGUUCACAAUCGCCCCUCCCAUAAUCUGCUGUCAAAACGCACAUCCUUUUCGACCCAGCAAAUAAACUUCUAAGUGUGCAAAGAAACGAAAAGUACAGAAGAUUUUCACUGCAGAUUAUUUGCAAGAGUGAAGAAAAAGAGAAAAGAAACAUUUUGUAUAGAAAGGGUUAAAUUAGUUAUGGCACGUUCAUAUGGUAGAAUAGAGACAGUUGUUAAAAACAAUGAGGUUGGCUUAUAAAUACUGCUGAAGAUCUGUGAUGUGUUAUCAAGUGAAAUAAGCCAAUCAGAAGACAUUAGGUAUAAGACCCCAUUUUUAAAAUGGACACCGUGGCGAGAGGUACACAUAGAUAUUAUGUGUCAGGAACAAAACCUAUUGAAGUAUUGACAACCUUUCUCCCCCAUCCCCAUUCCUAAAACGUGGUGGUUUCUUAUCACUAAGAUCCUUUCUGGAACUGACCCAGGAGACAGUAAGAGACAUGUGUCAGAGUCCUUGAUUGGCCAAACUGUCUUCAUCUCGUCUUCAUGGAGACAAGAUGAAAGAGGAGGUAGUGGAUGAAGAAAGGCAGCCAGCCAGAGGUGAAAGGAAAGAUCCCGGAGCAGUUGCUAAAGACUUGGACCACGGGAGCGGAAGCUGGGUGAAGUUGGGUUUAAGGGUGUUUUGCUGUCGUCAUGGGCCAUGUGACCCCUCCACAGAGUCUGUGAGUAAAUCCAUGACAAAAAUCUAGAACACCAGUGAGGUUUGGGGAUCCAAUUUGUGAUCUGAUCUUCUGCAUGUUUCUGUGCUACCUGUGAGGUGAGAACAAGAAGCCUAGUUUAAGGUCACAUAUGUAUGAAAAAUGCAAGGAAGGCCACCCCAGAAUUUGUCCCAGUGGGUACCUCAGCAAAGUCAGAUUAGGUACCGGUGUACUUUGUUGCAGUGAACAUGUAUGACAUUCAUCAUUUUAACAGGCAUAUAUUUUGCUUACACUCAGGACAGGGAGCCAGGGCAAGGCAAGCCUAGUGACUAAGGUGCAAAAUUUAAGGAAGCACUGGCUCUCAGGGUCUUCCCUGCUCAUAUUGGAAUAUAAGCACCCCUGUGAGGGAGCGCCUCCUUAAAUUUAGCACCUGAGCCACCUUGCUUGCCUCAACCCCACCUCGGCCCCGCUUACCCUCUUCUUAUUAACUACCAUGGUUCUGAAUCUUUAUUUAAAUUCAAGCUGGGAUGUCAUCUACCACACAGCUAUAUACAGAGUAGGUUGUUGUUUCAAAAACACUUUCAUAUACGUAUUUCAUGACUCUUCACAACAAUCUUGGAGAUAGACCAGACAGGUGUUAUAAUUCCCAUUCUACAGAUGAAAGACCAGAAAGAUUAAGACACCUAUUCAAGGUGACACUGCUCUCUGAGGGCCAGCAAACUCAGCCCAGUUCAGCUGACUCCAAUGAUUCUCUUCCCUCUAGUGUUUCCAUGACCCCAUGCAUAAAAAAUAGAAAUUGAUAUUGUGCUUAUAUCUAUCAG
rnacentral:lncRNA from 1 species